UACGUAGGGGGCUAGCGUUGUCCGGAUUUAUUGGGCGUAAAGAGCGUGUAGGCGGCCAGGUAGGUCUGCUGUGAAAACUCGAGGCUCAACCUCGAGACGUCGGCGGAAACCAUCUGGCUAGAGUCCGGAAGAGGAGAGUGGAAUUCCUGGUGUAGCGGUGAAAUGCGCAGAUAUCAGGAAGAACACCGGUGGCGAAGGCGGCUCUCUGGGACGGUACUGACGCUGAGAAGCGAAAGCGUGGGGAGCGAACAGG
rnacentral:rRNA from 1 species